rnacentral:rRNA from 1 species
UAGAGUUUGAUCCUGGCUCAGAUUGAACGCUGGCGGCAGGCUUAACACAUGCAAGUCGAGCGGUAACAGGGGAGCUUGCUCCUGCUGACGAGCGGCGGACGGGUGAGUAACGCGCAGGAAUCUACCUGGUAGUGGGGAAUAACCUGGGGAAACUCAGGCUAAUACCGCAUACGCUCCACGGAGGAAAGCGGGGGAUCUUCGGACCUCGCGCUAUCAGAUGAGCCUGCGUUGGAUUAGCUAGUUGGUGAGGUAAAGGCUCACCAAGGCGACGAUCCAUAACUGGUCUGAGAGGAUGACCAGUCACACCGGAACUGAGACACGGUCCGGACUCCUACGGGAGGCAGCAGUGGGGAAUCUUGGACAAUGGGGGGAACCCUGAU